UUGACCUCGGAUCAGGUAGGACUA
rnacentral:rRNA from 13 species